rnacentral:rRNA from 1 species
AGUAGCCAAUGAGCGAGCUGAUGAGCCAUGCCGCGUGUGUGAAGAAGGCCUUCUGGUUGUAAAGCACUUUCAGCAAGGAGGAAGCUACUGAGAUUAAUACUCUUGGAUAUUGAACGUUACUCGCAAAAAAGCACCGGGCUAACUCGGGGCCCCAGCGCGGGUUUAA